AUGGAAAGACUGCCAAGGCUUGUCCACACUUCGGACUAUUACCCACUGCUGCUCUUCCAUGUGGGUGCUAAUUGCACCAAGGGCAAACUGGAGACCAUCAAGCAGGAUUUCAGAGCUCUGGGGAUGGUGGUCAAGGGUCUGGGAGCCCAGGUCAUCUUCUCCUCAAUCCUGCCAGUGAGGGGGAUGGAUGAGAGGAGGAGGAGACGGACUUUCCAGGUUAACGACUGGCUGCGCCGCUGGUGUUGGCAACAGGGUUUUGGUUUCUACGACCAUGGGACCCUGUUUGAAGAUCGACAACUGAUGGCAAGAGAUGGGAUCCACCUCACGAGGCGGUGCACGCGGGUCUUUGCCAACAGGUUGGCCAACCUGGUAAGGAGGGCUUUAAACCCGGAAAGACAGGAGGAAGGGGAGAGUUAUAGUGCCAGGGUAGUUGGCAAAAGACUGCUCAAGUCAGGACGCCUCCAGCAGGUGAAUGCAGCCAGGGAAGUGCRCAUGGGAUGUGGCUAUGGAGGAUCCUCUUGUAUCCCUCCUGGGAAACCUGCAUGCUCGAUCUCCUCUCUGAAAUGCCUGCACACCAAUGCACGCAGCUUGGGGAACAAACAGGAAGAACUAGAGAUCUGUGUGCGGUCGCAGGGCCAUGAUCUCAUUGCCAUUACAGAGACAUGGUGGGAUAGCUCGCAUGACUGGAGUGCCGUCAUGGAUGGCUACGUGCUUUUUAGGAAAGACAGGCCAGGAAAGCGAGGUGGUGGAGUUGCUCUUUAUGUGAGAGAGCAACUGGAAUGUAUUGAGCUCUGCCUAGGGGUGGAUGAAGAGCGAGUCGAGAGCUUAUGGGUAAGGAUUAAAGGGCAGGCUAGCAUGGGUGACACUGUUGUGGGUGUUUACUACAGGCCACCUGAUAGGGAAGAGGAAGUCGAUGAGGCCUUCCACAGACAGCUGGAAGUAGCCUCAAGAUUCCAGGCCCUGGUUCUCAUGGGGGACUUCAACCACCCUGAUAUCUGCUGGAAAGACAACACAGCUAGGCACAAACAGUCCCAGAGGUUCCUGCAGAGCAUUGGUGACAGUUUCUUGACACAGGUGGUGGAGGAGCCAACAAGGAGAGGUGUGCUGCUGGACCUCGUACUAACAAACAAAGAAGGACUGGUGGAAGAUGUGAAGGUCGGGGGCAGCCUUGGCUGCAGUGACUAUGAGAUGGUGGAGUUCAGGAUCCUGCGAGGAGGCAGCAGGGCACUAAAUAGGAUCGCAACCCUGGACUUCAGAAGAGCAAACUUUGGCCUCUUCAGGGACCUACUUGGAGGAAUCCCAUGGUUUAGGGCCCUAGAAGGAAGGGGGGUCCAAGAGAGCUGGUUAAUAUUCAAACAUCACUUCCUCCAGGCUCAAGAGCGGUGCAUCCCUAUGAGUAGGAAGUCAAGCAAAGGAGGCAGGAGACCUGCAUGGAUGAGCAAGGAGCUCCUGGCAAAACUCAACCAGAAUAAGGAAGUCUACAGAAAGUGGAAAGGGGGACAGGCCACUUGGGAGGAAUAUAGAAACAUUGCAGUAUGA
rnacentral:lncRNA from 1 species